CUGGAACCCGGCGCGGAGGGACCGCGUGGGGAAGCCGUACUGGCAACCAUCGGUGAUGGCGCUCGAGGACCGCAAGGACUUUCUGGCUCCCUGGCUCCAUGGCAACGGAGACGCUACAGACUCGGCGUCCCACUUCUGCUUCCGGCUCCGCCCCUUCCGUCUAGUUUUUCUCUAGUAGAGCGUCAUCCCUGUCGUCAUCGCAAAGGCUUGCAUUUCUAACGGCUGGCUAGGUGUUCUAGGCUGGCCUCAAGGUCACCAUCCUCCCGCCUCCUCCUCAGCUUCCCGAGAGCUGGGUGCGGGUGUAUGCUGUGUGCCAGAUAACAUCACCUUUAUUUUCUUCCUGGUAAAGCUUUAGUUCUGUUUUGUGUGUCUCUAUGUGUCUGUGUGCACGGGAGUGCAGUUGCCCAUGCAGGCCAGAGAGGGCAUCGGAUCUCCGGGAGCUGGAGCGAUAGGCAAUUGUGAGAUCCCUGACACGGGUUCUGGGAACUGACCUCUGGUCCUCUGCUCUUAAAGGCUGGGCCACCUCCUCGGCCCCAGGAUCACCCUUCCUACAGGUGCACGGGUUCAUGCGGAGGCCAGGGGUCAACGUCAGCUUCUGCUCCUCAGGGGCCAUUGAUCUUGUUUUCUUGUUGAAGACAGUGUCUUACUACGCAGCCCUGGCAGACCCGAAACUCAUCAUGUAGACCGUACUGGCCUCGGUCUCAGGAAAUAUCCUGCCCCUGCCUCUUGAGUGCUGGAAUUAAAGGUGCCUGCAGAGGCCAGCAGAGGGCAUCAGGCCAUAGCCAUAGGCUGCUGUGAACUGCCAGAUGUGGCUUCUGGGAACCGAACCCAGGGCCUCCAAAAGAGCACCACAUGCUUUCAGCCCUUCAGCCACCCAGCCGCCUUCCCUCUGCUUCUGGAAACUUGCUGGGUGGGAGUCUGUCACCUUUCACCUGCAGAGAGCCCCGCUGUGGGAGAGAGGGCCCAGGAACCCCCCCACCCCUGUGUAAAUGACUGAUGGCAGGAGCCUCCUCCCUCGGGCUCCCUGUUUUAGUUCCUGCCCAUCCAUGGUGACUUCUUCAGCCAUCAGUGGAACACUUUCUGAGUAUGAGUCAUUGAGGGGUUUCUCGAAGCGCUUGCAGGGCCGACAGGCCUCAGCCCCCGUUACCUCUCUGUUCACCCCUCCGUUGUGCCCUCUUUGAGCUCCAGCCACUCUCCCAUCCUAGAGCCUGCCCUGCCUCGCCUGGAACCAGCGGCCCUAGGCAUCCCUGCACAUGCUGCGCUCCCACUUCCUGGAGCCUGCUCAGGGCCGCCUCCCCCAUGCCAGCCAGCCCCACCAACCCUGCCCCUCCCCAUCUCGCUCCCCCCAUUACAGUGUGAGCUCUAUGACAGCAGGAGGGUUUUGAUGUGUUUUGAGCACUGAGGAUUCCCAAGUCUCCGUGUGCCCAGUAGACGACAGAUCUUUAACAAACGUUUAUGGAGACAACAAAAUAGAGAAGCUUCCAAACA